UGCGGGUAUCUUAAUUGUUGAUAAUUAUCCAGUUUGUCUCGAUAAGCGUGAAACGAGAUAUUUUGAUUAUUAUAUUCAUCCUUAUCUUGUAAUAAUUGCAAUGGGACCCGCAGACCAAUAAUUGAGUUAAAAAGCCCCGUUUUGAUGAUUAUCUCGAAAACCAGUACCGAUUGGACCCCGCUUUAUUAAUAUAAAGCUAUUAAAUACGUAUUUUCAUGUCAUAUAUGAUCCAAAGGGGUACCAAUUAUUUGUAAAUAUAAAUAGACCUUUCUAGAGCUUAUUUUCACCCGUAAAAUCAUUUCACCAGUUUCUCUGCACGAAUACCGAGAGAAACCGAGCGGUGUUCUUCGUGUUCUUCAUAAUCAAACGAGGAUUUGGAGGUGUUAUUGGAAUCCGAUGGAGGUGUAUGAAUAGUCAAAACGAAGCUAUCGACGCGUAGAAUCUAUUACUAUCAGUGGUUUCAGUGCAGAAUCGACAGGAUUUGUACGAGACGUGUACGUUCGAAGACGUCAGAAAGUCGGAAUGGUAUUGCAAAGCGAAUAAGGGAUGAAUCGAGUAAGCGAAGCGAUGUGGCGAAUAGAGUAUAGCUAGAGAUGGUCUAGAGAUUAUGAGAUGCAUAGAUUGUGAAAGUGGAAAGAUGAGAAUGAGCUGUGAGACGGGAGUCAGAUUUAAGAAAGGCUUAAAGAUGAGUGGCUAGACUGUGAUGGUGAAUAAGGCUAAUGCUAGGCGAGGAGACAGAGUUGAGGAUUCAGUGGUCAAGAAGUGUCCAGGAAGAUUGAUAAGGUUGAUGCUAGCUCGAGUUGUGCUAUUGAGAUUCAGAUGUAAGUCAUAACUGGAAUAGUUGACAGUGAUUCUUCUUAUCGAAGAUGAUCUGAUUUGGUAAGAGAUGUUGGGUAAUAAUAGUGGUUGAUUCUAAUUUCAAUACUGUAACCUGGAAGCGAUCCUGUUGUUUUGGGGGUGAAGAUGUUCUCUUUCAAAUC